rnacentral:rRNA from 1 species
UUGACCUCAAAUCAGGUAGGACUACCCGCUGAACUUAAGCAUAUCAAUAAGCGGAGGAAAAGAAACUAACAAGGAUUCCCCUAGUAACUGCGAGUGAAGCGGGAAAAGCUCAAAUUUAAAAUCUGGCAGCCUUUGGUUGUCCGAGUUGUAAUCUAGAGAAGUGUUAUCCGCGCUGGACCGUGUACAAGUCUCCUGGAAUGGAGCGUCAUAGAGGGUGAGAAUCCCGUCUUUGACACGGACUGCCAGGGCUUUGUGAUGCGCUCUCAAAGAGUCGAGUUGUUUGGGAAUGCAGCUCAAAAUGGGUGGUAAAUUCCAUCUAAAGCUAAAUAUUGGCGAGAGACCGAUAGCGAACAAGUACCGUGAGGGAAAGAUGAAAAGAACUUUGGAAAGAGAGUUAAACAGUACGUGAAAUUGCUGAAAGGGAAACGCUUGAAGUCAGUCGCGUUGUUUGGGAAUCAACCUUGCUUUUGCUGGGCGUACUUUCCAGAUGACGGGCCAGCAUCAAUUUUGACCGUUGGAUAAAGGCUGGAGGAAUGUGGCAUCUUCGGAUGUGUUAUAGCCUCUGGUCGCAUACAACGGUUGGGAUUGAGGAACUCAGCACGCCGCAAGGCCGGGUACUUGUACCACGUUCGUGCUAGGAUGCUGC